rnacentral:rRNA from 1 species
AUUGAACGCUGGCGGCAGGCUUAACACAUGCAAGUCGGGCGGGGUGAUGGUGCUUGCACUAUCACUUAGCGGCGGACGGGUGAGUAAUGCUUAGGAAUCUGCCUAUUAGUGGGGGACAACAUCUCGAAAGGGAUGCUAAUACCGCAUACGUCCUACGGGAGAAAGCAGGGGAUCAUUUGUGACCUUGCGCUAAUAGAUGAGCCUAAGUCGGAUUAGCUAGUUGGUGGGGUAAAGGCCUACCAAGGCGACGAUCUGUAGCGGGUCUGAGAGGAUGAUCCGCCACACUGGGACUGAGACACGGCCCAGACUCCUACGGGAGGCAGCAGUGGGGAAUUUUGGACAAUGGGGGCAACCCGGAUCCAGCCAUUCCGCGGGAGUGAAGAAGGCCUUCGGGUUGUAAAGCUCUUUCGGCAGGAACGAAACGGUAGUUACUAAUACUAGCUGCUAAUGACGGUACCUGAAGAAGAAGCACCGGCUAACUACGUGCCAGCCGCCGCUGUAA